CUACUGAAUGAAUGAAUGCAGAAAAUAGUUUUAGUUGGAUUCCCACGUCUAUUUCCGCACGGUGACCCAGGCCACUGCAGGCUGCUGCUCUUUCUGGCUCAGCACCCGCCCACAAACCCCGCGAUUCCUGAGGGCUUGGUGGCGCGGGGAUUCGCGCAGCUCUGGCUCGUCCUCAUUCUGACCCUCACAGUCCAGGAAAGGGAGGCUUGGACAAGACCCGACGCGCCCCAGAAAGAAGAUCUGGCCUGGCCAUGCUGUGUCUAUGGACAGUUCCACAGUAAUGAAUCAGUGCGUCUUCAGAGGGAUGGAAGAAAACAAAGAAAGCGAAAACGCAAGCAGAGCACCCAGGAUGAGGAUGCCGUUAGCCUUUGCAGUCUCGACAUAAGCGAGCCUAGUAAUAAACGGGUCAAACCCCUUUCCAGAGUCACAUCGCUAGCAAACCUCAUCCCACCCGUGAAGGCCACACCGUUAAAACGCUUCAGCCAAACCCUGCAGCGUUCCAUUAGCUUCCGCAGUGAGAGCCGUCCUGACAUCCUCACCCCCCGACCCUGGUCCAGAAAUGCCGCCCCCUCAAGCACGAAGCGGAGAGAUAGCAAGCUGUGGAGUGAGACCUUCGAUGUGUGCGUCAAUCAGAUGCUUCCGUCCAAGGAAAUCAAACGUCAGGAGGCAAUCUUUGAGCUUUCCCAAGGAGAAGAAGACUUGAUAGAGGACUUGAAAUUGGCAAAAAAGGCCUAUCACGACCCCAUGCUGAAACUCUCCAUAAUGACAGAGCAAGAGUUGAAUCAAAUUUUCGGAACACUGGACUCUCUCAUUCCUCUACAUGAAGAGCUCCUUAGUCAGCUUCGAGACGCUCGGAAGCCUGAUGGCUCCACUGAACAUGUUGGUCCCAUCCUCGUGGGCUGGCUGCCUUGUCUCAGCUCCUACGACAGUUACUGCAGCAAUCAAGUAGCCGCCAAGGCUCUGCUGGACCACAAAAAACAAGAUCACCGAGUCCAGGAUUUCCUGCAACGAUGUUUAGAAUCCCCCUUUAGCCGCAAACUGGAUCUCUGGAAUUUUCUUGAUAUUCCAAGAAGCCGUCUAGUGAAAUACCCUCUGCUUCUUCGAGAAAUCUUGAGACACACACCAAAUGAUAAUCCAGAUCAGCAGCACCUGGAAGAGGCUAUAAACAUCAUUCAGGGAAUCGUGGCAGAAAUCAACACCAAGACCGGGGAAUCUGAGUGCCGCUAUUAUAAAGAGCGGCUUCUUUACUUGGAAGAAGGCCAGAAAGACUCUCUAAUCGACAGCUCGAGAGUGCUGUGUUGUCAUGGAGAACUGAAGAACAACCGAGGCGUGAAACUUCAUGUUUUCCUGUUCCAAGAAGUGCUUGUGAUCACUCGAGCCGUCACCCACAAUGAGCGGCUCUGCUACCAGUUGUACCGGCAGCCGAUCCCUGUAAAGGACCUCCUACUGGAAGACCUGCAGGAUGGAGAAGUGAGGCUGGGUGGCUCCCUGCGUGGCGCAUUUAGCAACAAUGAGAGAAUUAAAAACUUCUUCAGAGUGAGUUUCAAAAACGGAUCCCAAAGUCAGACCCACUCGCUACAAGCCAACGACACCUUCAACAAACAGCAGUGGCUCAACUGUAUUCGUCAAGCCAAAGAAACAGUGCUGUGUGCUGCCGGGCAGGCUGGGGUGCUGGACUCCGAGGGACCGUUCCUCAAUCCCACCACCGGGAGCAGGGAGCCACAGGGAGAAACAAAACUUGAGCAGAUGGACCAAUCAGACAGUGAGUCAGACUGUAGUAUGGACACGAGUGAGGUCAGCCUAGACUGUGAGCGCAUGGAACAGACAGACUCUUCCUGUGGGAACAGCAGGCACAUUGAAAGCAACGUCUGACAGAAGCGUGUGUACUUCCUGGAAGUAGCCCUUUGUCUUACCUGUACAGUAUUUGCAUUCCACACAUGGAACGGUUUGGAGAAGCACUUUUUAAUAUUUUUGUGACCGUGUUGACCCAGUUUCUUGUAUCUGUACCUUUGUCCUUAGUACUGUAACUGCCAAUCUGUCUGUGUAAGCUGGGAUCUGUGGUAACCGUUACCCUGUAUUGUAUUCCACAAGUGUCUGGAUAGAUGGAGGGGUACUUGAACAAGUUACUUUCAAUUGUCCUGCUGGAUUUUAAAACUAGAAAAGAAUCUCUAAACUACUGUUCCAUGUAGAUUGCUUAAAAGAGUCUUUCCAUGUUUCUAUAGUGCUUUUCUAGCUCUUUGACAUGGUAGCUGAAGGCAUGGAGUAUACAGGGCCUUGCAAAAAGGGCAUGAGGAAGUCACUUGUGUAUCAUGAUGGUAUUCGAAGGAAAAUGGGAAAAGAUCAAUCCUUGCAGUGAACUUGGUUCAAUGUUAUCCAACCAGAAAGCAUGAAAACAUCCCUGGGGAUUCUGGAUCCUUAAUUUUGCAAAGCAAGAAGCACUGUGUGGACCUUGCAAUGUCAUCCAGUGCAUAUUUGAUGCAGUAAUCUAUUAGGAUGUGGAAUAGUGUCUGACCUUAAAAGGACCAGCACAAAAGCAGCCGUCAGCUCUGAAUCUUGAACUGAAAUGCAGUUACACCGGGAGGAGGGAGUGUGUCUCUGUCAAAGUUGUUGGCUUGCCGUAGAGAGCCAUUUCUAGCCUAAAACACCAGAAUAGAACUCGAAAGGUUUGGGAAUAUCUGCCAGAAUAAUGAGAAGGCCCAUCUUCGUUUUGUUUCAUCUGCCAAGCCCUACUCAUAUUUUGGAGCAUUGAGCAAGAGACUGCAGGAGAGUCCAUGCCUCUGUUCACAGAAACAUAUGAGAAGAAGAAUUUGGAAGAAGUGCUUCAUCAUGACCUCUUACAGGAAACAUUAAGAGAAAAGCCAGGUCUAGUGCCCUUCUGAGAAAGGCCAGAGCCUUGGGUUUUCCUGUUCUGCUUUUGGGUCAUCACUUUGCCACCUUGGCCCUGUGCUGUGAUCAGAGCCAUAAUUACAUUCUCCAAAGGCCAAUUUUAAUUAACUCUGAUUAAUUAGAAUCAAUUAACGAAAUUAGUAACCUCUUUGUCCAGCUUUGGCUUACAGUGCAGGGUAGAUUGCAGAUCUUAAAAAAAGCCAACUGAAUACACAGAAAAGCUCCCUGUGAGUGUAAAUAUUAAGGAUGACCUGUGCAGAAUUAUUCCCACACCAGCACUAGUAGUAAUGAUUCUAAAUUAUUGCCAAAAAGUUUUUUUUAAUCUUCUGUGUCUUUCGAGUUUACAGAAAGCAGUAAACGCUGUGUUGUCAUUUUAUGAUGUACAUCUAAUAUGUGCAUUCAAAGAAGCUGUGUGACAAGAUGUAUCAUUAUAAAAACAAGAAUGCUAGAAUUAUGGUAUCAGAAGGGAAUUUGAAGAAGGUGAAUCAAGCCCAAACCCACCGGAAGAAAUGUGAAGAUCAUGAAGAUUUAAAACCUUGCCCAUAGGAACACAUAAUGAGAAAAGGUGACUAUAUUCACGGCACCUACAGGGUCUUUACACAAACAAGCUGCAAAACAAUCACUGUUCCUUGUAUCCCAGCUCCUUCCUCCAGGCUUGGUUGGCACAUCAGUCAGCUAUGCAGAUCCACCCAGAUAAGCACUUCUUUCUUUUUUUUUAAAUGUGCAUUUAUUUUUCAGAGACAGAGGGUGAGUGAGGCAGGAGCAGAGAGAGAGGGAAACACAGAAUCUGAAGCAGGCUCCAGGCUCCGAGCUGUGAGCACAGAACCCAAUGUGGGGCUCAAACCCACACACAAACCGCGAGAUCAUGACCUGAGCUGAAGUUGGACACAACCGACUGAGCCACCCAGGUCCCCCAGACUAAGCACUUCUUCAACUGACCUGGUCGGCAUAGCAAGGAAUUAGAAACCGUGCUCUGUAUCUGAGAACUGAUCAUCUAGUUCAGGAAACUGCACAUGCAUUCUAAAUAACUUGUCCAUUUAUACAUAUGUAUUCACACACAAACACACCUAAAUAUUAAUGACCUGUGCUACUCAUCUGUGAAUGGUUUGAAGAAUAUCACCCUGAAGGUAUUGUAUUCAGUGUAUCUAUUUUCAUAUCUGUGAACACUUUAAAAAGUGAGACUGUGAAUGUGAAAUCACUUUGGAAAUUAGUAAGAGCUAAUAGUUUUCAUUAUUGUUAUUUAAUACUCACUUUUUUUAAUUUUAUUUUUUAUUUUUUAAAAUUUACAUCCAAAUUAGUUAGCAUAUAGUGAAACAAUGAUUUCAGGAGUAGAUUCCUUAGUGCCCCUUACCCAUUUAGCCCAUCCCCCCCCCACAACCCCUUCAGUAACCCUCAGUUUGUUCUCCAUAUUUAUGAGUCUCUUUUGUUUUGUCCCCCUCCCUGUUUUUAUAUUAUUUUUGUUUCCCUUCCUUAUGUUCAUCUGUUUUGUCUCUUAAAGUCCUCAUAUGAGUGAAGUCAUAUGAUUUUUGUCUUUCUCUGACUAAUUUCACUUAGCAUAAUACCCUCCAGUUCCAUCCACAUAGUUGCAAAUGGCAAUACUCACUUUUAAAUUUACACCUGGUGUUAUGAAAUUUCUCAAAAGUAUGAUGUUGGCCUUUUUCACUGUACUGCACACUUCAAAGCGGGGGGGGGCGGUGAGUGGUCUUCUUAAUCCAGCAAAUCAGGAGUAUUUUUUUAGAUUUUUUUUCUUUGGCAUUUUCCUUCCCACAAUUAUCUGUUUUUUCUUUCAGGAACUCCAGAAAGAGAGAUGUUGAACCUUGUGGAUUUGGUCUCUACUCCUGAUUGUUUUUCAAUGUUCUUAUCUCUUUAUUCCUACUUUUUAUUUCCUUAUAUUUUGUUCUGUCUCAGGGAAACUUACUUACUGUUAUCUUCUAACCCUUCUAUUAAUUUGGGGAAAUGGUUAGCUAUCACAGGCUUUGUUUUUUUUUAAGAUUUUAUUUUUAAGUAAUCUCUACACCCAGUGUAGGGCUUGAAUUCACAACCCCAAGAUCAAAUUCACAUGCUUUACUGACUGAGCCAGCCAGGUGCUCCAAUCACAGUUUUUAUCGCUAAUUUCCCCCCCUUUUUCCAUCAUCAUUCCUAUUCUUAGACCAUCUUGUUCUUGUUUAGUGAAGGCAAUAACUACUGUAAACUCAGGAAAUCAUAGUUUUGUUGAGUUUUUCUUCUUGCAUUGUUUGUUAAUCUGGCAAUAAUAAUAGUAAUAUAUGGGAUUUGAGGGAGGAGUAAAGGAGCUUAAAUGUCCAAGAAGGUAAUGCCAGAUAUCUUCAUUUACCUCUCCAAAGCCACUCUCUGUCCUGAUCCUUCUGUGCCUGUGAAAUCUAUGUGUACUUCAUCAAUGGGCUCUCUUCCUUGUAGCUUCUGGCCAAAGGGGAGUUCUCACAUGAUAUCAGGGAGGGAAGCAAGUGAAGUUGGAGUAUUUAUGCCCUCAGGUCUCUCAAAGAAUUGACUUGGUCUGACUGCAUCUCUUGACAGGAAGUCACAGCUCCUCUCAAGGAGUCCUCUCUGAGUUCCCAUAAGCCUGCCAGCCUAGGAUGGUAACAACCCUACUGUCACUAGCCCUAGGAGACUGCGUUAUUCUUGUACCCUGCUCACAAUUGCAUAAAGUCCCUUUAUGAAGUCCUCCUUGAAUUAACCUAAUUUGAAUCUGCUGCUGAGCCUCCUAAGCCCCUGACGGAUACUGGUGGCUGACAUAAUAAACAUUAUACUACAUGUGCUAUCGUCACUCUUGUCACUGUUAUUCCACAUCUGCAUUGUAUUUUCAUAUGUUGUGGUUCAAGGAUACAAAGAUCUUGUGGACUCAUCAAAGUUGGAUUUUGUGUUUCUGUUUCUUAUUAUUGCAGUGGAUUGUUUUAUGAGAAGAAACAGGAAAAUAUCUUUCAAAAACAAAGACAAAAUAAACAAGGACUUUUUCAGGCAUGCCACAUCCCAAAGCCAAAAGAUUUCAUAACCAACAGACCUAUACUACAAGAAAUGUUAAAGAACCUUCUUUCAAGAGAGAAAAAUGAUACUGGAUGGAAGUAUGGAUCCAUGCAACAGAAAGAAAAGCACUGAAAAAGCAACUAUGUGGGGAAAAUAGGAAAUACUCUUCUUAUUGUAUAAAUCUCCUUAAAGGAUUGAGUUCUAGCCAUUCUAAACUAAUAAGGAUAGUUUUACCUUUUCACCUGAAACAACAAGAAAAAGGCAGCGUAUAUGAAACUGUGGCUUUAAAGACGCUGAACAUCAGAUAUUGAAGAACAAUGGCCCUGAGAGAGGCAGAGCAAAUGACUGAGCCCUGUGAUUGCUCCAGCUAUGGCCUUGAGAAGGUUUUCAGGCAGCAGUGCAGAGAGUGGAAACCCAGACUGAGUCCAGUGAACUCACUGAGUGGAAGAGAUAUAGCUAAGUAUUCUGGGAGACCAAAGCAGCUACGCUACAGAGAAGAGAGCAAUGCCUGGAGAGAGAACCAUGGUGGUCUAUAGAGGGACACACUCAGGUGCUCAGCUGAGUACUGAUGAGUGCACACACGUGAAGAAACUACCCAAGGGUGGGGGAAACUAUCCAAAAGGAUUAGAGGGAACUCACACAGUGCUGGGAAUAGUGCCUAUUCCCACAAACCACACCAGAAGAAUAUCAUAAUUGGGUAAAGUACUCAGAAGGGCCUACUUUCAGUAGUGGGGAAUAAUUACCUCUACACUAAACACUAGCCUGGUUUGCACCUAACAAGUCUUAAAAGAAAGGCUAAAAAGGAUCAAACCAUUUCCAAGUAACUUAACUGCAUACCAGAACAAAACUCAAUUGUUUAUACGAAUACAAAAUUAUCCAGCAUCUAACAGGGUAAAAUUCACAGUGUCUGACAUCUAAUCGAGGGCUACAAGCCCUUCAGGAAAGGACAACCCAUAGUGAAGAGGGAGGAAAAAAAAAUUAAAACCAACCCAGAACCAACACAGAUGUAGGUGCAUCACAAGUUAUAGCUGUGUUCCAUAUUUUUAAUGUUAAGUGGAGAAAUGAAAAAUAUGAAGAAAGACCCAAAUCUAACUUCUAGAGAUGCAAACUACCAUGUAUGAGAUGAAAGAUACACUGGAUGGGAAUAAUAGCAGAUUAUGCCUCACAGGGAAAAAAAAAAGAUAAUUU